AUCCAGUUGACGAGUCCCAAAUAGGACGAAACGCGCUUCAAACUGUAC
rnacentral:hammerhead_ribozyme from 1 species